UGAGGGAAUAUUUGGGGUCAAUGGGCGGAAGCCUGAACCAGCCAUGCCGCGUGCGGGAAGGAGGCCCUAUGGGCUGUGAACCGCUUUUGCCUGGGGGCAAUAAGGGCGUCGCGCACGUCCGAUGAGAGUACCAGGGGAAUAAGCAUCGGCUAACUCCGUGCCAGCAGCCGCGGUAAUACGGGGGGAUGCGAGCGUUAUCCGGAUUCAUUGGGUUUAAAGGGUGCGUAGGCUGUGCGUCAAGUCAGGGGUGAAAUUCCGGGGCUCAACUCCGGGGCUGCCCUUGAUACUGUCGCGCUGGAGUGCGGAUGCCGCCGGAGGAAUGAGUGGUGUAGCGGUGAAAUGCUUAGAUAUCACUCAGAACACCGAUUGCGAAGGCAUCUGGCGAAUCCGUAACUGAC
rnacentral:rRNA from 1 species